GUGUGUGUAUGAGGGGCCGCCUGGGACAGAAUUCAUACUUAGUCUUACACACACUAUUAUAAUCUUGCAUAUACACCACUGUACUCAUACACACACACUAUUAAACUCCUUUUACAUAUAAGUAUGAGAGUGUAUAGUAGUGUAUGUGAGAGGGUAUAGUAGUGUAUGUAAGAGGGUAUAGUAGUGUAUGUAAGAGAGUAUAGUAGUGUAUGUAAGAGAGCAUAGUAGUGUAUGUAAGAGAGUAUAGUAGUGUAUGUAAGAGAGUAUAGUAGUGUAUGUAAGAGAGUAUAGUAGUUUAUGUAAGAAGUAUAGUAGUAUGUGUAAGAGAGUAUAGUAGUAUGUGUAAGAGAGUAUAGCAGUAUGUGUAAGAGAGUAUAGUAGUAUGUGUAAGAGAGUAUAGUAGCAUGUGUAAGAGAGUUUGAAUGAAACGGGAGUGAGUUUGAAUGAAACGGAAGUGAGUUUGAAUGAAACGGAAGUGAGUUUGAAUGAAACGGAAGGGUUUCCUCAUUACCAUUUACCUCCACAAACAUAAAGUGUCCGUGGAAAAUAAAGUAAAUAAGAAGAAAUACCACUGACA